rnacentral:lncRNA from 1 species
GGACAGUCUGGGAGCCACCUAGGAGGAGAAUGGGGUGCAGCUGUCAACCCCAGGGCUGUUUGGAGUGGCUGAAACAGCAGCGUAGCAAUGGACUGCUGUAGCAGAGGAGUUCAGCACAGCUCCAUCAAAUGGUUCUUUGGAUCGAGCAUAGAAACUGGUCAGAUCUCUUCCACCCGUACCCUGUAUCACCAGAGAACAGAAUUUCCAUGCAGCCACUGGUUUGUCCUCAGACAGCGGCACUAGAAGUUACCGCGUUCAGCUUUUGUCCUAUUGCCUGGCUUCCCUGCCCUUGAUCUUCUUCCAGCAGUGGAAACAGCUCUCAUCUUCUCUUGAAUGAGAAUAUCAGUCUACCAACACCAGGUGCUUCUUUCCUUUUUUAAGAGGUAAGUUUGUAAAUUUCUGAGCCAUUUAUUUCAAACCUAAUACUGUAGUGAAGCAAAAUAACAAACGAAGUAAAUUAACAAUUGUAUUAUACUAUGGGGAAAUCAAAUGAUAAUAUAACAAAAACUUGCAG